rnacentral:rRNA from 1 species
UCGAACGGAGAUUAUACGCAGAGGCGAUUUCGGUCAAAUCAUGUAAAAUCUUAGUGGCGGACGGGUGAGUAACGCGUGGGUAACCUGCCUUACACUGGGGGAUAACACUUAGAAAUAGGUGCUAAUACCGCAUAAGCGCACGAAGCCGCAUGGAUUUGUGUGAAAAACUCCGGUGGUGUAAGAUGGACCCGCGUCUGAUUAGCUUGUUGGCGGGGUAACGGCCCACCAAGGCGACGAUCAGUAGCCGGCCUGAGAGGGUGGACGGCCACAUUGGGACUGAGACACGGCCCAAACUCCUACGGGAGGCAGCAGUGGGGGAUAUUGGACAAUGGGGGGAACCCUGAUCCAGCGACGCCGCGUGAGUGAAGAAGUAUUUCGGUAUGUAAAGCUCUGUCAGCAGGGAAGAAAGAAAUGACGGUACCUGACCAAGAAGCCCCGGCUAACUACGUGCCAGCAGCCGCGGUAAUACGUAGGGGGCAAGCGUUAUCCGGAAUUACUGGGUGUAAAGGGAGCGUAGACGGUUAAGUAAGUCUGGAGUGAAAGGCCGGGGCCCAACCCCGGGACUGCUCUGGAAACUAUUCAACUUGAGUGCAGGAGAGGUAAGCGGAAUUCCUAGUGUAGCGGUGAAAUGCGUAGAUAUUAGGAGGAACACCAGUG